AAUAAAAGCCAAGAAGAGAGCGAGGUAGUCGCCGGCGGCGUUCGUCGCUGAAAUCUUGUGUUAUAGCUACUGUUCAUCUUCUUCCUUGGGUUGCAGCUACUGUUCAUCCUUUUCCUUGGGUUGCUGUGGCGAGUGAGAGAGAGAGCAAACGUUCCUGGUGCCAACAUUGAUCAGUUGCUGAACUGUACUAGCAAUUGCUCAGUUGAUGCUACAUGCUAGUACUCAUUUUGGGGAAAAUAUUCUGAUCUCUUGAGGAAAUAUUCUCUCGUCUCUUAUAUGCUAUCUAAAUAGUCAUCAAAAAAUUUAAAAAAAAUUAUGAAGAUAGAUUAACAUAAGAUAUAUCACUACAUAACCAUGCAAG
rnacentral:lncRNA from 1 species